rnacentral:misc_RNA from 1 species
UCUCCGUAGGUGAACCUGCGGAGGGAUCAUUACAGAUUUCAUGCCUUACCGGGUAGUUCUCUUAUCCUCUGUUAUUAUUACUUUGUAGCUUUGGCGGUCCGUUAGGCUCCGGCCCGACUAUCGGCCCCGGCUGGUAAGCGCCCUCCAGAGGACCCAAAACCCUGAAUAUUAGUGUCGUCUGUGUACUAUAUAAUAGUUAAAACUUUCAACAACGGAUCUCUUGGUUCUG